GAUGAACGCUAGCGGCAGGCCUAACACAUGCAAGUCGAGGGGCAUCGCGGUGCAGCAAUGCACUGGCGGCGACCGGCGUACGGGUGCGUAACGCGUAUGCAACCUGCCCCGCACCGGGGGAUAGCCCGCCGAAAGGCGGAUUAAUACCCCAUGGCCCCGGGGGCCCGCAUGGGCAUCCGGGUAAAGCUUUGGCGGUGCGGGAUGGGCAUGCGUGCCAUUAGCUGGCUGGUGGGGUAACGGCCCACCAGGGCAACGAUGGCUAGGGGGUCUGAGAGGAUGGUCCCCCACACUGGUACUGAGACACGGACCAGACUCCUACGGGAGGCAGCAGUGAGGAAUAUUGGUCAAUGGGCGGAAGCCUGAACCAGCCAUGCCGCGUGCGGGAUGAAGGCCCUACGGGUUGUAAACCGCUUUUCCCCGGGAAGAAUAACCCCGAUGAGUCGGGUGAUGCCGGUACCGGGGGAAUAAGGAUCGGCUAACUCCGUG
rnacentral:rRNA from 1 species